rnacentral:rRNA from 1 species
UGGGAACAUACCUUCUGGUUCGGAACAACACAGGGAAACUUGUGCUAAUACCGGAUAAGCCCUUACGGGGAAAGAUUUAUCGCCGAAAGAUUGGCCCGCGUCUGAUUAGCUAGUUGGUGAGGUAACGGCUCACCAAGGCGACGAUCAGUAGCUGGUCUGAGAGGAUGAUCAGCCACAUUGGGACUGAAACACGGCCCAAACUCCUACGGGAGGCAG